GGGUGUGACUGCGUACCUUUUGUAUAAUGGGUCAGCGACUUAUAUUCUGUAGCAAGGUUAACCGUAUAGGGGAGCCGCAGGGAAACCGAGUCUUAACUGGGCGUUAAGUUGCAGGGUAUAGACCCGAAACCCGGUGAUCUAGCCAUGGGCAGGUUGAAGGUUGGGUAACACUAACUGGAGGACCGAACCGACUAAUGUUGAAAAAUUAGCGGAUGACUUGUGGCUGGGGGUGAAAGGCCAAUCAAACCGGGAGAUAGCUGGUUCUCCCCGAAAGCUAUUUAGGUAGCGCCUCGUGAACUCAUCUUCGGGGGUAGAGCACUGUUUCGGCUAGGGGGUCAUCCCGACUUACCAACCCGAUGCAAACUACGAAUACCGAAGAAUGUUAUCACGGGAGACACACGGCGGGUGCUAACGUCCGUCGUGAAGAGGGAAACAACCCAGACCGCCAGCUAAGGUCCCAAAGUCACAGUUAAGUGGGAAACGAUGUGGGAAGGCACAGACAGCCAGGAUGUUGGCUUAGAAGCAGCCAUCAUUUAAAGAAAGCGUAAUAGCUCACUGGUCGAGUCGGCCUGCGCGGAAGAUGUAACGGGGCUAAACUGUGCACCGAAGCUGCGGCAGCGACACUAUGUGUUGUUGGGUAGGGGAGCGUUCUGUAAGCCUGCGAAGGUGGCCUGUGAGGGUUGCUGGAGGUAUCAGAAGUGCGAAUGCUGACAUAAGUAACGAUAAUGCGGGUGAAAAGCCCGCACGCCGGAAGACCAAGGGUUCCUGUCCAACGUUAAUCGGGGCAGGGUGAGUCGACCCCUAAGGCGAGGCCGAAAGGCGUAGUCGAUGGGAAACAGGUUAAUAUUCCUGUACUUGGUGUUACUGCGAAGGG
rnacentral:rRNA from 1 species